AUUGAACGCUGGCGGCAGGCCUAACACAUGCAAGUCGAGCGGAUGAAGGGUGCUUGCACCCCGAUUCAGCGGCGGACGGGUGAGUAAUGCCUAGGAAUCUGCCCGAUAGUGGGGGACAACGUUUCGAAAGGAACGCUAAUACCGCAUACGUCCUACGGGAGAAGGUGGGGGCUCUUCGGACCCCACGCUAUCGGAUGAGCCUAGGUCGGAUUAGCUAGUUGGUGGGGUAAAGGCUCACCAAGGCGACGAUCCGUAACUGGUCUGAGAGGAUGAUCAGUCACACUGGAACUGAGACACGGUCCAGACUCCUACGGGAGGCAGCAGUGGGGAAUAUUGGACAAUGGGCGAAAGCCUGAUCCAGCCAUGCCGCGUGUGUGAAGAAGGUCUUCGGAUUGUAAAGCACUUUAAGUCGGGAGGAAGGGCUGCAGGUUAAUACCUUGCAGCCUUGACGUUACCGACAGAAUAAGCACCGGCUAACUUCGUGCCAGCAGCCGCCGUAACAC
rnacentral:rRNA from 1 species